UCCAACACUCAGAUCUUCUCCUUAGUGUGUUUCUUUCUUCCCUUAUCUUAUUCGCAACCUUUAAUUCUCUGUCUUUCCUCUGUCAUCUUAUCCUAACAAUUACUUCUCUUUUUCUUCAUAUACAGAAUCAAAUUUCUUAAUUUGUAUAUGUUAAGUUUCCCAUCGCAUCUUUUAGAGAUGCCUCACAUCUGCAAUGGAAUUCUUUCCGGGAGACAUGUUUAGAAUCGAAGGUGGAUGAGGCAGAAGAAGAUGAUGUUUGGUGGUAAAGAGGAACCUUGUGGUGGAGCGCGAAUCCAUUUCUAUCUCUCCCGGUCUCGUGAUUCCUCUCAGCUUCAAGCCAUCUGGCUUUGUGGUGCUCGUUGACCUUUACGGCUGCUCUGAAUCCGGCUCAUGAGAAUCGCUUUGGCCUGAGACAACGAGACAUGCUUAAGAGAAUCAGGUUGUGGAAUCGUGACAGUCGGAUUUCUCUCCUCAGCCGCAGUGCAGUGGUGGUACUCGCAGCCACAGGGUGGUGGUCGUGGUGGCCGUCACUGUCAAUCCAAG